CAUGCCAUUAAUUUCUAAGCAGUCAAUGAGGAAUUCUGCUGUAGAAUUAAUGGCAAAAU
rnacentral:pre_miRNA from 1 species